AGAGUUUGAUCAUGGCUCAGGACGAACGCUGGCGGCGUGCUUAACACAUGCAAGUCGAGCGGAAAGGCCCUUCGGGGUACUCGAGCGGCGAACGGGUGAGUAACACGUGAGUAACCUGCCCUAGGCUUUGGGAUAACCCUCGGAAACGGGGGCUAAUACUGGAUAUUCCCGCGUGAUCGCAUGGUUGUGUGGGGAAGGGGUUUCCGGCUUGGGAUGGGCUCGCGGCCUAUCAGCUUGUUGGUGGGGUGAUGGCCUACCAAGGCGACGACGGGUAGCCGGCCUGAGAGGGCGACCGGCCACACUGGGACUGAGACACGGCCCAGACUCCUACGGGAGGCAGCAGUGGGGAAUAUUGCACAAUGGGCGGAAGCCUGAUGCAGCGACGCCGCGUGAGGGAUGACGGCCUUCGGGUUGUAAACCUCUUUCAGCCCUGACGAAGCGUAAGUGACGGUAGGGGCAGAAGAAGCGCCGGCCAACUACGUGCCAGCAGCCGCGGUAAGACGUAGGGCGCGAGCGUUGUCCGGAUUUAUUGGGCGUAAAGAGCUCGUAGGCGGCUUGUCGCGUCGGCUGUGAAAUCCCGUGGCUCAACUGCGGGCUUGCAGCCGAUACGGGCAGGCUAGAGUUCGGUAGGGGAGACUGGAAUUCCUGGUGUAGCGGUGAAAUGCGCAGAUAUCAGGAGGAACACCGGUGGCGAAGCGGGUCUCUGGGCCGAUACUGACGCUGAGGAGCGAAAGCGUGGGGAGCGAACAGGAUUAGAUACCCUAGUAGUCC
rnacentral:rRNA from 1 species